rnacentral:tmRNA from 1 species
GGGGCUGCAUUGGUUUCGACGUGGGUUCGGACGCGGUGUGGUGCAUGUCGAGCUGAGUGUGCUCGUAAAACUGAUUCAAACAAACUAACUGCAAACGACGAACGUUUCGCACUCGCUGCUUAAUUGCCAGUGAGCUUUACAACAGCAGGCCGAUGGGCUGGGC